AAUAUCUCACUUGUGCUACUUUUCUUUUCUUUGCUUGACAAAUCACACAAAACACAAAAACAUAGUAAAUAGCUCAAAAAUAUAAGGAACUAACUAAGAAAAGACAAGUGAAUUUUAUGUAAAAUAUAUAUAAAUAUGAGCUUAUCAAUCAUCUUAAACGUAGUGAAAGGAACUGCAAAUACAAAACAUGAAGGAACGAAACCCAUCAAGAAACUAGAAAUAGUAAAAGGAAAAAUAAAUUUGAUAUAUAAUCCAUGGACAUGUAUAAAACAAUAAUAUGGCAGCCAUUUGAAAAGAAAGAAAUGUCAGCUUACCUUUGGCUAAUGCACGCCUAUUGCAGAAAACACCACGAGUAUUUUCCUGAUCUUUCAUUAGUAACUCCAUAAAAUAAUCUUUCAGCACCCCUCCAUGGCAUAGAAGGGCAAUUAAAUUCCUAUUGGACAUAGAAUGCAGUAUGACUAAGAUACAAUCACAUUAUAUGAACUUUAAUUAGUUUUCAUGACACGGUUUCAAUUUCUUUGCUUUGUUUGGAAAUUUGUGCGUUGAUCUUCGAAGCACUUAAUCAAUUUUGCUUGCAGUUUAACUAUUGAGGAUUCUUAAUGUAUUUUGGUUUUACCUGGAUUCCAUUUUUGUGAUUGCCACCCUUAGUCGGUGGUAUUAUUUUUACAAUGGAUUUAAAUUGGGGAUUUAGAGAAUCUAAUAACAAAACUAAAUUAUAUGUUCCAUGCUUUUCGUUUUCAUUUUGGGUUUUGCUUUGUUUGGAAAUUUGUGCGUUUAUCUUUGGUCAAAUGUAGGCAACGAUGUGAAAGUUGAUGUUUUGAGACUUACCCUUUGUUUGCUGCACUUUCACAGAUUGAGUCCAUUAUACCGUCACUAUUUAAGUUACUUUUGUUGUAUCUAUUUGUUUCCACUUCGAAUUCUUAUUCAAACACAUGCAGUUCCUUCCCACUCAUUGUGCAAUAUGUUUAUAUGCAACUCACUUAAAUGUGUAUAAAAGCAAAACUACUUAUCUUACCGGCCUCAUUCACUUAUGCAUUCCUCUGUUUGUUCAUAAUUGUCUUGAAUUUAUUCAACUUAAAUGUGUUUUAUCCAUCUGAUUACGUCUGAAACAGCUGGUUCCCAUAGCAACGCGUGGGCCUGAUAGGAGCAUAUUUAUGCGACUGAUGCGACAAUUUUACUUGACACACAAAUUAAACCCUCUUUUUGACAAUUGUAGUAUAGAUGUAAGUAGGGUAUCGUUCUAAACCGGGGAUU
rnacentral:lncRNA from 1 species